CAGUCGCCGCGGGAAUACGUAGGGUGCAAGCGUUGUCCGGAAUUAUUGGGCGUAAAGAGCGUGUAGGCGGCUCGACAAGUCCGCUGUGAAAGUCCAGGGCUCAACCCUGGAAUGCCGGUGGAUACUGUCGAGCUAGAGUCCGGAAGGGGCGAGUGGAACUCCUGGUGUAGCGGUGAAAUGCGCAGAUAUCAGGAAGAACACCAAUGGCGAAGGCAGCUCGCUGGGACGUGACUGACGCUGAGACGCGAAAGCGUGGGGAGCGAACAGGAUUAGAUACCCCUGUAGUCCCUGUCUCUUAUAC
rnacentral:rRNA from 1 species